CGGGGUUUCGCCAUGUUGGCCAGGCUUAUCUCAAAUUCCUGAGCUCAGGUGAUCCGCCCGCCUCUGUCUCCCAAAGUGCUGGGAUUACAGGCGUGAGCCACCGAGAAUCCAUUUUCCAAACACACAAAGGAGUGUUUGGUGUCUCAGCCUGAAAGGAGCAGUAAUGGUAGGAUUGAAGGCACACAGCAAUCCAGGAAGAAGGCAAUGCUGUACCUGGUGUUUCUGUGGGAAAGACCUUCACACUGACAUUUUGAUUUGAUCGUGAAUGUUGAUGAACACCAGGCCUACUUAUGCACAAGAGCUUCUGACCUGAGAUCAGAGCAGGAAACAGAAUUUUAAAGAAAUGUCUCAAGAGUCAUAGAAGGCAGGAGCCAAGAAGUGAUCACUAUUGACCUCAAGCUCAAAGAUCCAUGGGAAGUAGCAAAACUCAACAGUGGUGAAUCCCUGGGUCCUUGGUCAAAGGUCCUGAGGUGUUGAGGUCAAAUCAGAAGAGAAAAUGCAAAUUUGUCCAUGUGAGAAAUUUAUUUCAAAAAGGCAGAUCCAAAAAUUUGACUUGGCAAAGUGUGGUGGGUUUUGUAAAUAAAAAUAAAUGGUUAUAAAGAGGAGCUGACUGUGGAAUAACUGCGUUUCACAGAGUUAACAUUUGAAGUUUCAACUGUUUGCAAAUGACUCAUGGUGCUAUUCA